GAGCCAGGAUCUACCCCAUCCCAGACCUCAUUUAAGGGCUGGCACUGGAGGCAAGGAUAUCUUGCUGGAGAUUACUGCCUACGUGAGGCCUUCUGUAGGACAAGACCUCCUUAUGCAUGGCAUGUGAAGGCAGAACAGCAUCAACCUUCUGUCUCCCCACUCUGGACUGAGAAUUACAGGAAGAAGUGAUCAGUGGCAUGAGAUUAAAGGAAACAAUGAUUCUGUUCCUGAGUCUGUCACAUCCACUGUGAGUGGCAGAGUAGGUGUUACAGACAUGGAAACUAAAGCAGACUUACAUAAGGAAUAAUAUUGACCUUCAUUAACUACUCUGAAGCAACUGUCAAGAAGCAAUAUUUAAAGAACACGUGCUCACCAGGCAGCCCAUGUUAAUACUGCUUAAAGAUCCUGUUGGAGAUAACUGACUUUUGUUUCUUGCUGGAAAAUACUUUUCAAUGCUGGAAUGGUCAAACAAAGUUUCAUAGAGCUGCUAGAGCCAGUCAUGGGCUUGUCUGGGAGGAAAGAGUAACUGACAGUGGAAUUUUUAAGCUGCUAGUUCAGUUUCCGUCCUGUUUGAUGUCACAAGGAGGAAUUAGGAGAUACCCAUGAAUUCAAGAGCACCCAGGUUGAGUUCCAGGAGUGGAUCCUGUAUUGCCAAAUCUGCCACUGCAGCCAACGCUGACUCAUAUUCUUAAUGAAUUUCUCAGGGAAGGCCAAAUGUCUGAGGCAGAAAUCCAGAUACUUCCUUGGUAACUGAGAGCAAGGAAUAAGCCUGCUCUCAUCCAAUCUCAUAAGCAGUAUUUUUCUGAGAGGAAAGAGUAUGGUGAGAUUGGACCUUGAAGCACUUGUAGCCUCUGAGUGAGCCACUGAACAGCAAAAGCUGUCUGCUACCAUUCCUGAGCUACAGGGAAAUGGUUAUUCAGUUUCCUACAGUUGGAAAAGAAGGGUGUUGUGGCUAUUUUAACCUACUGAUGUCCAACCGUAUAACUUUCUGAUUCAAAAGGCAGGACUAUUACUCCCUAGCCCCUACUCCCCUCUCUCUAUAAUUGACAGGAGAGGCUUCUGCACACAGGAGUAUGCACUGUCACAGAGUGUGCUACACCUAAUCUAUGGAAAAAGUAAUUUCACUGUCUAGGAUGUCAAUUCUAUAUUCUAAACCAGUACUGAAAGAAUAAGAGCUUAGAUGACUACUAUAUUUUGACAAGCUGUCAACCCUUCAAACCUGCCAAUUCACCUGUAAUUUCCACAAGAACUCUUCUAGCAAUGCAGCAGAAUUGGAACGUGUCACCAGUAUUAAUAACAAUCAGGAAUACCACAAACUGACAGAUACUGGAAAAGUUCAGUUAAACAAGAGCAGAGAGCUCCUUAACCAUGUAAUACUACCAAACAGUAGUUCUGGCCUGGCCUCAAGGACCACCACAGUGUCAGCAAACCCUUCAGGCUCUUCCAGCUCCUGCAGUCCUGCUGGACAAGUCUGUGCACCAGUGCUGCCCUCCCAGCCUAAAGGCCUAGCACUAAUCUGCCAAUAUCAUAGAUACAACUCAGCAAAAGCUCUUAUGUUUCAUGCCUCACCUCUAAUGCCUUGGGUUAGGCAAGCAGUGAAGUGUCCUUGUUCAACAUGGAAGUUAGACAACCACAGAGGAUGAAAUGGUUCUAAGUAGGUCAAGUGCCAGAAUGAGGUCUGAGCUGGGAAGUCCAAGACAAAUGUUUUUCUGAGGGCUCCACAGCUGCUGCACAACAGUUGGCCCUAAACAGCAUGCUUCAGUUCUGGCUUCUGGCACAGAAAGUGCUGCUCAUGGACUUUGAACAGCUACCCACAAAAUGGAGUGCCAGGACACAGAGUUUCAGGCAUGAAUGAACAAGAAAGGCCAAAUGAGGUCUGUUCUAGACUACCUGGGCUCUUUCCUUUAUUCCAGUGAGUGCAAAGAAAGUUUCAGUCAACUAUGUUUGAGUUACAUGACUUACAUGAGCUGAAAUUAAACUUCAUAACAGGAUGCCAAAGGCUUUUACUGAAGUGAUAUGUUUAUAAAGGGAUUAAAAAAGGACUUAUUUCCUUAAUGUUAUUAUCAGAAGCCCCAUCACAUUAAGAAUCCUGUCUUCCUCGUAUUUUUGCCCAGGAACUUCUUGCUUACAAUAAAAAGUUAUACAGGAAAAUAUACCGUUUUGUAGUUGAAAUACAGUCCUAUAUAAUACUUUCUUCUUCAAGAAUAUCAUUUAGGUAUAUAUCAUCUUGUGUAGAAGAUGACAGGCUGGCGUUAGAUCUUCCGUUGUUAAUUGUAAAACUAUUUCUGGAAUAAUCCAGAGAUGCAUGAAAAGGAGCUCUCAGAGAGUGCCUGUGCCUGUUGCUACCUGCCAUUUUCUAAUCUUUAAAAAAAGAGAUUCUACCCUCAGCAACAGAGCAUUCAAACUUAGAAGGCUGGCAACUGUAUCAUAAAUAUUAAGAUAUAAAUAUGUUCAAUCACGUAGACUACCAGUCCAAUAACAGUCCAGCCAAGUUCUGGGUUUUACUCUUAAGGCAUUUACCAUUAACGUCCCAGAUAUUUAUCACUGUACAACUAAGAAGUUUGUACUAUCUUUUGCACUGGCUUGGUUGUUGUGCCAAGCAAGUACUCCAGCACACUUGUCAUUGGUUACUACCACAUAAACAAAUCUCCCAGUCUACUUUCAUACUCUCAGCUCCUGUGG